CCUUGUUUGGAAGGCAGGCAGAAAGUCACAAAGAGGGAGAGACAGAGAUAUACGUGAAAGAAAAAAGAAGGGAGGGGGUUCUGGUUCUCACGCACGCAGGUUGUUGCUCUAGAAGUGGCCGUGAACAGUGGGACAAAGGUUGCAAAUGAGGAAUUUGAUGUAUCGACAGAGUUACUCAUGAGGGAGCUGCUGAAAUUAAACGGAUCGAGGUUGAAGGAAAAGCAAAGUUACAACAGAAGGAUGAGCUCUUACGUUUAAGGACAAGAAAAUCAAAGCAGAAGCGUGGGGAAGUAUGUGGUGCCAAUUAUUAAUUGCGAAAAGUUUAAUCCUUUUCAACCAGUAACAUAGAUCAACUUAUUCUCAUAUAGUUAAUGGGCUAUUUUUUGUGGGAGAUUGUCUACACUGAUGAUGAAGGGGGUAUGAUGCUUGUAGGCGAUGAUCUGUGGUCGUAAGUAGCCUGAUAAUGCCUCAAGUCUUCAAUACAUAUAUAUGAUUAUUUGUUCUAGAAUUCAGACGUUUAUCGACUUGGAUCUUAUAAACUUUA